GGAAGCAAAAGUCGUAACAAGGUUUCCGUAGGUGAACCUGCGGAAGGAUCAUUAUUGUAUAACCGAGGUGCGAGGGCUGUCGCUGACCCGAAAGGUCGUGCACGCCCGAGUGCCCUCACUCACAUCCAUCUCACCCCUAUGUGCACCACCGCGUGGGUCCCCCUUUGGCUUGUUCGGAGGGGGGCUUACGUUUUCACACAAACUUUGUAUGCAGUGUAGAAUGUAUUUUUUGUUUUUGCGAUCACGCAAUCAAUACAACUUUCAACAACGGAUCUCUUGGCUCUC
rnacentral:misc_RNA from 1 species